UACGAAGGUGGCAAGCGUUACUCGGAAUUACUAGGCGUAAAGGGCAGGUAGGUGGUUUGAUAAGUCUGUUGUGUAAGCCUCUCGGCUUUAACUGGGAGAGGUCAACGGAUACUAUCAGGGCUUGAGUAUAGGAGAGGGUACUGGAAUUCCCGGAGUAGCGGUGAAAUGCGCAGAUAUCGGGAGGAACACCAAUGGCGAAAGCAGGUACCUGGGACUAUUACUGACACUAAACUGCGAAAGCUAGGGGAGCAAACAGG
rnacentral:rRNA from 1 species